rnacentral:rRNA from 1 species
AAUUUUCGGCAAUGGUGGCAACCCAGACCGAGUGACGCCUCGUGAGUGAAGAAGGUCUUCGGAUUGUAAAACUCUGUUGUUAGGGAAGAACAAGUACCGUAGUCACUGCCGGUACCUUGACGGUACCUCACGAGAAAGCAACUGCUAACUACGUGCCAGCAGCCGCGGUAAUACGUAGGUGGCAAGCGUUGUCCGGAUUUAUUGGGCUUAAAGCGCGCGCAGGCGGUCUUUUAAGUCUGAUGUGAAAUCUUACAGCUUAACUGUAAGCGGUCAUUGGAAACUGGGAGACUUGAGUGCAGAAGAGGAGAGUGGAAUUCCAUGUGUAGCGGUGAAAUGCGUAGAGAUAUGGAGGAACACCAGUGGCGAAGGCGACUCUCUGGUCUGUAACUGACGCUGAGGCGCGAAAGCGUGGGGAUCAAACA